AUGUGUGAACGUACCUAUCUUGUAGUGAGAUGAAUGCUGUUUUGGUGGUAGGGCCCUUCUGAAGAGAGGGCACCGCUGCCAGCAGUAUAGUCUCACCACUAUAAAACUCUUUUAUUAUUUUCUAGAUUUUUCAUUGCUGAGUGGCAUAACUAUAAAAAAGUUAAAACUUUCAACAACGGAUCUCUUGGCUCUAGCAUCGAUGAAGAACGCAGCGAAAUGCGAUAAGUAAUGUGAAUUGCAGAAUUCAGUGAAUCAUCGAAUCUUUGAACGCACAUUGCGCCUGGCAGUAUUCUGCCAGGCAUGCCUGUCCGAGCGUCAUUUCACCACUCAAGACUCUUUUGUUCUUGGCGUUGGAGGUCCUGUUCUCCCCUGAACAGGCCGCCGAAAUGUAUCGGCUGUUAUACUUGCCAACUCCCCUGUGUAGUAUAAAAUUUCUAAUUUUUCACACUUUGAAGUUCUUGUGUAACACGCCGCUAAACCCGCUCAACUUUUGUUGAACU
rnacentral:misc_RNA from 1 species